CCCGGGCGACCGGCGCACGGGUGAGUAACGCGUAUGCAACCUGCCCGUUUCAGCGGGAUAACCCGGAGAAAUCCGGCCUAAUACCGCAUGUGGCCGAGGGGAGGCAUCUUCUUUCGGCCAAAGGAGGCGACUCCGGAGACGGAUGGGCAUGCGUGACAUUAGCUAGUUGGCGGGGUAACGGCCCACCAAGGCGACGAUGUCUAGGGGUUCUGAGAGGAAGGUCCCCCACACUGGUACUGAGACACGGACCAGACUCCUACGGAAGGCAGCAG
rnacentral:rRNA from 1 species